GCCUUCGUGGAUCAGCGGUAGAUCUUCUCUGAUUAGUUCAUUGUCCAAGGAUAGACUUCAUGAGAAAGCGCGGGUUCGAAUCCCACCGAGGGCA